CCCUUAGAUGUUCUGGGCCGCACGCGCGCUACACUGACGAUGGCAACGAGUUUUUCCUUCGCCGAAAGGUGUGGGUAAUCUUUUGAAACAUCGUCGUGCUGGGGAUAGAUCAUUGCAAUUUUUGAUCUUGAACGAGGAAUUCCUAGUAAGCGCGAGUCAUCAGCUCGCGUUGAUUACGUCCCUGCCCUUUGUACACACCGCCCGUCGCUACUACCGAUUGAAUGGUCCGGUGAGGCUUUGGGAUCUGAGCGGAAAGAGCGUUUCGCUGUUUCUGCUCGGAAAACUCAGUCGAACCUUAUCAUUUAGAGGAAGGAGAAGUCGUAACA
rnacentral:rRNA from 1 species